AGCUGAGUAUUACCAUAUCUUCUCUCUGUCGAAUCUGUUGCGAAGUCUGAAUUGAACUGUGGUCUUGGUCUGGAUCGAGUAGAGUUCCAAUCUGAGUUCAAAAAGAAAGAUAACUCUACUUGUUCGGCCUUACUCUAGAGAGAGAGAGAGAGAGAGAGUGGAGCGAAAAAAGUGUGUGGAGCGAAUUGCUCUUUUGUAUUCUUUUGUUCAUAUAAUCAGUUUUUGAGGUUGCCCAAAAAAAAAGAAAAAAAAAUAAAAAAAAGAAAAGAGAAAAGAUUCAAAAAAAAGGGGCUGUUUUUCAUAUUGAUUUUAGGUUUGUCCCACCUUGUUUUCGGGGGUGUGCUGUGGUUUUCCUUUGUGUCCAGGCUCGCGUCUCUAGCACGGUCUAGCCUAGGACCAGCACAGUACCAUCGUCGAACGCUUAUUCAGCUCGCUUUUAUAACUAAUGUGGUGCUAGUUCAUUCCUUGUUUCAGCCCACCUAUAGCUCCACAUACUCUACAGCUUGACAGGUCUUGUGCUGCAGCACCGAUACACUUCGUCCAUUGCUGUACACUUGUUGCCAGACGACCCCUCCUGUCAAGCAAGGUAAGAAUUGGUAAGAACUUGUGUUACAGGUUGAGUGUGAGCGACUUGCUGUAGCUACAUCCUAGUAGUUGUAGGGCUUUUAUUUCUUCACUUGCCUUUUUGUUGUCUUUGUCUUUGAACCAUGCCAGGGGCAGAUGAUGGUAACGAAACACCACUUACACCUCGCACUAAGGGCAUCAUACAACAUUUUGAAAGGAAAGUGAAGCUGCACACAGAGGGACUUGAUAACGACUUGCAGGUGACGAAUGAAAAGCUGGGGCAGUUGGAGGCUACGCAGAUUGCCACAAACAACAAGCUCACAAGUUUGGAGGAAUCCGUUGCUAGUGUGGACAAAAGCCUUGCUGCUCUCCUAAGGCGAUUUGAUGCUUUCCACACCGAAGAUAAAGAGAAGCAUAAAGAAGAAAAGGAGGGAGAUCGAGAGCACGGUAGUCAUGAAGAUGACUACACUGGUGAUACUGAACAUGAUGAUCAAGACACUCGUGAUCGACGUCGCCUUCGUCACAACCGUAGAGGUAUGGGUGGCAACCGCCGACGCGAGGUACACAAUAAUGAUGAUGCUUUCAGUAAGAUUAAAUUUAAGAUACCCCCUUUUGAUGGUAAAUAUGACCCUGAUGCUUACAUCACUUGGGAGAUUGCUGUUGAUCAAAAGUUUGCAUGUCAUGAAUUUCCUGAGACUACACGUGUUAGGGCUGCUACUAGUGAGUUUACAGAUUUUGCUUCUCUUUGGUGGAUAGAAUAUGGAAAGAAAAAUCCUAAUAACUUACCUAGAACUUGGGAUGCGCUGAAAAGGGCCAUGAGAGCUAGAUUUGUUCCAUCUUACUAUUCGCGUGAUAUGAUAAAUAAGUUGCAGCAGUUAAGACAAGGUGCUAAAAGUGUAGAAGAAUAUUAUCAGGAAUUACAAACGGGUAUGUUGCGUUGUAACCUAGAGGAGGAUGAGGAACCGGCUAUGGCUAGAUUUUUGGGUGGGUUAAAUCGUGAAAUCCAGGACAUUCUUGCUUAUAAAGAUUAUACUAACAUAACCCGUUUGUUUCAUCUUGCUUGUAAAGCUGAAAGGGAAGUGCAGGGACGACGUGCUAGCGCAAGGAGUAAUAUUUCUGCAGGGAAGGCUAAUUCAUGGCAGCAACGCGUGGCUUCAACUCCAUCUACACGUAUUUCUACUCCAUCAUCUGGUGACAAGACUCGAGCUGCCCCCACCAAUUCAGUUGCGAAGACGAUGCAAAAGCCUGCUGCGAGUACUUCAUCCGUGGCAUCGACGGGUAGAACAAGCAACAUACAAUGUCACCGGUGCAAGGGACAUGGGCACAUGAUGCGUGACUGUCCAAACAAGCGAGUUAUGAUUGUCAGGGAUGAUGGUGAGUACUCAUCUGCUAGUGAUUUUGAUGAGGAUACACUUGCACUGCUUGCGACUGACCAUGCAGGUAAUGAAGAUCAAAUAGAAGAACAUAUUAAUGCAGGUGAAGCGGACCACUAUGAGAGCUUGAUCGUGCAGCGAGUGCUUAGUGCACAAAUGGAGAUGGCGGAACAAAAUCAGCGACACAUUUUAUUCCAAACAAAGUGUGUCAUCAAAGAGCGUUCUUGUCGCAUGAUCAUUGAUGGAGGUAGCUGCAACAACUUGGCAAGCAGCGAUAUGGUGCAGAAGCUUGCCCUCAACACCAAACCACACCCGCAUCCCUACUACAUCCAAUGGCUGAACAACAGUGGUAAGGCAAAGGUAACUAGACUUGUGAGAAUUAAUUUUUCCAUCGGAUCCUACAAAGAUAUUGUUGAAUGUGAUGUUGUGCCUAUGCAAGCUUGUAACAUUCUGCUAGGUAGACCUUGGCAAUUUGAUAGAGAUUCUAUGCAUCAUGGUAGAUCAAAUCAGUAUUCUUUUCUAUACCAUGAUCGCAAAAUUGUGUUGCAUCCUAUGUCCCCUGAAACUAUUAUGCAAACUGAUGUUGCUAGGGCUACUAAAGCAAAGAGCAAGAGCAAUAAAAAUGAUAAAUCUGUAAUUGGUAACAAAGAUGAGAUAAAACUGAAAGGACGUUGUAUGAUAGCUACCAAAUCAGAUAUCAAUGAGUUCAAUGCAUCCACUUCUGUUGCUUAUGCUUUGAUAUGCAAGGAUGCUUUGAUUUCAGUUGAGGAUAUGCAAUGUUCUUUGCCCCUGCUGUUGCUAACGUUUUGCAGGAGUAUUCUGAUGUGUUUCCAAGUGAUGUACCAGCGGGGCUGCCUCCACUACGCGGGAUUGAGCACCAAAUUGAUCUUAUUCCUGGAUCAGUUUUGCCAAAUCGUGCACCAUACAGGACAAAUCCGGAGGAAACAAAGGAAAUUCAGCGACAAGUGCAAGAACUACUAGACAAAGGUUAUGUCCGAGAAUCUCUUAGUCCUUAUGCUGUUCCAGUAAUUUUAGUGCCUAAGAAAGAUCGAACAUGGCGUAUGUGUGUUGAUUGUAGAGCUAUUAAUAAUAUCACCAUUCGAUAUCGACACCCUAUUCCACGAUUAGAUGAUAUGCUAGAUGAACUGAGUGGUGCUGUUGUGUUUUCAAAAGUUGAUUUACGUAGUGGGUACCACCAGAUUCGUAUGAAAUUGGGAGAUAAAGGUAGAAAGCAAUUGAUUCUGGAACCUGGGGAUUUGGUUUGGUUGCAUUUGCGAAAAGAUAGAUUUCCAGAACUGAGAAAAUCCAAAUUGAUGCCUAGAGCUGAUGGUCCUUUUAAAGUGCUGCAACGAAUUAAUGAGAAUGCAUAUAAGCUUGAUCUUCCUGCAGAUUUUGGGGUUAGUCCCACAUUUAACAUUGCAGAUUUGAAGCCUUAUUUGGGUGAGGAAGAUGAGCUUGAGUCGAGGACGACUCAAAUGCAAGAAAGGGAGGAUGAUGAGGAUAUCAACACCAGCGAUACAUAUCCUACAUCCACCAGCGAUACAUAUCCUACAUCCACCAGCGAUACAUAUCCUACAUCCUCUCCGACACAACCUAUAGCUGGUCCUCUUACUCGUGCUCGUGCCCGUCAACUCAACCUUCAAGUAAGUUCAGCUUUAAACUCUUGUCAAUCAUAUUUAGACAAUGGAGACACGUGCACUUUGGUGUUGCUCAGGAAUAAUGGACAAGAUCAGCAAGGGAAGGUUCAACUGCAUUCAGAAUUUGAGGCAACACCAACUUCAAGGGCUGAUUGCAUAUGGGAAGAGUGAUAACUUAACAAAGGUGAUUGGAGAUCAGGUCCAAGCCUCCACAACGUCCUCUGUCAAGUUACCACGUCGUUUCUAAAGCAAGGAAACAAAGAGUCCAAACCCAACACGUUUUGGGAGUUGGAUUCGGACUGGAAAAUAACUCUAACUUGUAUGGAUCACCACGGCGUCAUAUGGACUCCAACUGGGACGUUCCUAUACUUGUUGGAAAGCUCAUGAAGUCUACUUUCCAAUGGGUCCAACCACAUAUCUAUGCGGCUUAUGAGUCGGGCGCAGUCCUUGUUUUCGUGCCGACACCUUUUUCUGUUUUGGUGCUGCGUCACCCUAUUUUGGACCAAUGGCCCAUGUAUCAAGUUGAGUCCAUUAGGGACGCGUCCUAGGGUUGGAGGACGACUCUAGCACCCUUUUGGUCGUCCUCCCCUCUAUUUAUUUACAUCUAGAGCCGCCAUGAACAACUGGGUUUUGUUUAGAUCAAGUUUAGCCUUCGCUACUUGCUUGUAGGCGCGCGUGCAGGAUCAGCCGCCCGUCUCCUUGUCUUCGGAACCCCAUUGUUGAUUAAGAUUCAGUUUAAAACCUUCAAUUCAUCUUGCAAAUUCAGUGCUUGUUUCCUCGUUCUUGCUAGUUCUUCGAUUGCUUGCAGGACGGGAGCCCUAGGGGCUGGUUGUCGCGCUCCACAAGAUCAUGACGGCUGUUGGACGUGGUGUAUCGGUUGCUAAGGCGCGGUCUUGAGGGCUGUAGUCGGGCCGUGAACGUCAUCUCCAUCCACUAAUCGAGUUAUCCAGCGCCUCUCAUCGAAAGAUCAGGCCAAAAACCCGAGCGGGCUCGCAUCAGUUGGUAUCAGAGCAAGGUUCUUCGGUGAGAGACUUCUAAUCCUUUGCUGUUUUUAAUUAAUUUCCUAUAGUCCAGAAAAGCCAAAAAAAUAUAGUAGAUUAGUUUUUCCAUAAUCCUAUUAAACCUUUGUGCUUUGGCUAGUACCGUUUUAGUUAGGGCUUGUUGAAUUUGCGUUGCUUCGGUUUGUGUCGAGUUGCUGGUCUUAGUGUCUAGUCCUUUAGAGUUUCGAGUUCUUGUCACCAUCUAUACACAGCCGAGUAUUACCAUAUCUUCUCUCUGUCGAAUCUGUUGCGAAGUCUGAAUUGAAUUGUGGUCUUGGUCCGGAUCGAGUAGAGUUCCAAUCUGAGUUCAAAAAGAAAGAUAACUCUACUUGUUCGGCCUUACUCUAGAGAGAGAGAGAGAGUGUGGAGCGAAAAAAGUGUGUGGAGCGAAUUGCUCUUUUGUAUUCUUUUGUUCAUAUAAUCAGUUUUUGAGGUUGCCCAAAAAAAAAGAAAAAAAAAGAAAAGAGAAAAGAUUCAAAAAAAGGGGCUGUUUUUCAUAUUGAUUUUAGGUUUGUCCCACCUUGUUUUCGGGGGUGUGCUGUGGUUUUCCUUUGUGUCCAGGCUCGCGUCUCUAGCAUGGUCUAGCCUAGGACCAGCACAGUACCAUCAUCGAACGCUUAUUCAGCUCGCUUUUAUAACUAACGUGGUGCUAGUUCGUUCCUUGUUUCAGCCCACCUAUAGCUCCACAUACUCUACAGCUUGACAGGUCUUGUGCUGCAGCACCGAUACACUUCGUCCAUUGCUGUACACUUGUUGGCAGACGACCCCUCCUGUCAAGCAAGGUAAGAAUUGGUAAGAACUUGUGUUACAGGUUGAGUGUGAGCGACUUGCUGUAGCUACAUCCUAGUAGUUGUAGGGCUUUUAUUUCUUCACUUGCCUUUUUAUUGUCUUUAUCUUUGAACCAUGCCAGGGGCAGAUGAUGGUAACGAAACACCACUUACACCUCGCACUAAGGGCAUCAUACAACAUUUUAAAAGGAAAGUGAAGAUGCACACAGAGGGACUUGAUAACGACUUGCAGGUGACGAAUGAAAAGCUGGGGCAGUUGGAGGCUACGCAGAUUGCCACAAACAACAAGCUCACAAGUUUGGAGGAAUCCGUUGCUAGUGUGGACAAAAGCCUUGCUGCUCUCCUAAGGCGAUUUGAUGCUUUCCACACCGAAGAUAAAGAGAAGCAUAAAGAAGAAAAGGAGGGAGAUCGAGAGCACGGUAGUCAUGAAGAUGACUACACUGGUGAUACUGAACAUGAUGAUCAAGACACUCGUGAUCGACGUCACCUUCGUCACAACCGUAGAGGUAUGGGUGGCAACCGCCGACGCGAGGUACACAAUAAUGAUGAUGCUUUCAGUAAGAUUAAAUUUAAGAUACCCCUUUUGAUGGUAAAUAUGACUCUGAUGCUUACAUCACUUGGGAGAUUGCUGUUGAUCAAAAGUUUGCAUGUCAUGAAUUUCCUGAGACUACACGUGUUAGGGCUGCUACUAGUGAGUUUACAUAUUUUGCUUCUGUUUGAUGGAUAGAAUAUGGAAAGAAAAAUCCUAAUAACUUACCUAGAACUUGGGAUGCGCUGAAAAGGGCCAUGAGAGCUAGAUUUGUUCCAUAUUACUAUGCGCGUGAUAUGAUAAAUAAGUUGCAGCAGUUAAGACAAGGUGCUAAAAGUGUAGAAGAAUAUUAUCAGGAAUUACAAAUGGGUAUGUUGCGUUGUAACCUAGAGGAGGAUGAGGAACCGGCUAUGGCUAGAUUUUUGGGUGGGUUAAAUCGUGAAAUCCAGGACAUUCUUGCUUAUAAAGAUUAUACUAACGUAACCCGUUUGUUUCAUCUUGCUUGUAAAGCUGAAAGGGAAGUGCAGGGACGACGUGCUAGCGCAAGGAGUAAUAUUUCUGCAGGGAAGGCUAAUUCAUGGCAGCAACGCGUGGCUUCAACUCCAUCUACACGUAUUUCUACUCCAUCAUCUAGUGACAAGACUCGAGCUGCCCCCACCAAUUCAGUUGCGAAGACGAUGCAAAAGCCUGCUGCGAGUACUUCAUCCGUGGCAUCGACGGGUAGAACAAGCAACAUACAAUGUCACCGGUGCAAGGGAUAUGGGCACAUGAUGCGUGACUGUCCAAACAAGCGAGUUAUGAUUGUUAGGGAUGAUGGUGAGUACUCAUCUGCUAGUGAUUUUGAUGAGGAUACACUUGCACUGCUUGCGACUGACCAUGCAGGUAAUGAAGAUCAAAUAGAAGAACAUAUUAAUGCAGGUGAAGCGGACCACUAUGAGAGCUUGAUCGUGCAGCGAGUGCUUAGUGCACAAAUGGAGAUGGCGGAACAAAAUCAGCGACACAUUUUAUUCCAAACAAAGUGUGUCAUCAAAGAGCGUUCUUGUCGCAUGAUCAUUGAUGGAGGUAGCUGCAACAACUUGGCAAGCAGCGAUAUGGUGCAGAAGCUUGCCCUCAACACCAAACCACACCCGCAUCCCUACUACAUCCAAUGGCUGAACAACAGUGGUAAGGCAAAGGUAACUAGACUUGUGAGAAUUAAUUUUUCCAUCGGAUCCUACAAAGAUAUUGUUGAAUGUGAUGUUGUGCCUAUGCAAGCUUGUAACAUUCUGCUAGGUAGACCUUGGCAAUUUGAUAGAGAUUCUAUGCAUCAUGGUAGAUCAAAUCAGUAUUCUUUUCUAUACCAUGAUCGCAAAAUUGUGUUGCAUCCUAUGUCCUCUGAAACUAUUAUGCAAACUGAUGUUGCUAGGGCUACUAAAGCAAAGAGCAAGAGCAAUAAAAAUGAUAAAUCUGUAAUUGGUAACAAAGAUGAGAUAAAACUGAAAGGACGUUGUAUGAUAGCUACCAAAUCAGAUAUUAAUGAGUUCAAUGCAUCCACUUCUGUUGCUUAUGCUUUGAUAUGCAAGGAUGCUUUGAUUUCAGUUGAGGAUAUGCAAUGUUCUUUGCCCCCUGCUGUUGCUAACGUUUUGCAGGAGUAUUCUGAUGUGUUUCCAAGUGAUGUACCAGCGGGGCUGCCUCCACUACGCGGGAUUGAGCACCAAAUUGAUCUUAUUCCUGGAUCAGUUUUGCCAAAUCGUGCACCAUACAGGACAAACCCGGAGGAAACAAAGGAAAUUCAGCGACAAGUGCAAGAACUACUAGACAAAGGUUAUGUCCGAGAAUCUCUUAGUCCUUGUGCUGUUGCAGUAAUUUUAGUGCCUAAGAAAGAUGGAACAUGGUGUAUGUGUGUUGAUUGUAGAGCUAUUAAUAAUAUCACCAUUCGAUAUCGACACCCUAUUCCACGAUUAGAUGAUAUGCUAGAUGAACUGAGUGGUGCUGUUGUGUUUUCAAAAGUUGAUUUACGUAGUGGGUACCACCAGAUUCGUAUGAAAUUGGGAGAUAAAGGUAGAAAGCAAUUGAUUCUGGAACCUGGGGAUUUGGUUUGGUUGCAUUUGCGAAAAGAUAGAUUUCCAGAACUGAGAAAAUCCAAAUUGAUGCCUAGAGCUGAUGGUCCUUUUAAAGUGCUGCAACGAAUUAAUGAGAAUGCAUAUAAGCUUGAUCUUCCUGCAGAUUUUGGGGUUAGUCCCACAUUUAACAUUGCAGAUUUGAAGCCUUAUUUGGGUGAGGAAGAUGAGCUUGAGUCGAGGAUGACUCAAAUUUAAGAAAGGGAGGAUGAUGAGGACAUCAACACCAGCGAUACAUAUCCUACAUCCACCAGCGAUACAUAUCCUACAUCCACCAGCGAUACAUAUCCUACAUCCUCUCCGACACAACCUAUAGCUGGUCCUCUUACUCGUGCUCGUGCCCGUCAACUCAACCUUCAAGUAAGUUCAGCUUUAAACUCUUGUCAAUCAUAUUUAGACAAUGGAGACACGUGCACUUUGGUGUUGCUCAGGAAUAAUGGACAAGAUCAGCAAGGGAAGGUUCAACUGCAUUCAGAAUUUGAGGCAACACCAACUUCAAGGGCUGAUUGCAUAUGGGAAGAGUGAUAACUUAACAAAGGUGAUUGAAGAUCAGGUCCAAGCCUCCACAACAUCCUCUGUCAAGUUACCACGUCGUUUCUAAAGCAAGGAAACAAAGAGUCCAAACCCAACACGUUUUGGGAGUUGGAUUCGGACUGGAAAAUAACUCUAACUUGUAUGGAUCACCACGGCGUCAUAUGGACUCCAACUGGGACGUUCCUAUACUUGUUGGAAAGCUCAUGAAGGCUACUUUCCAAUGGGUCCAACCACAUAUCUAUGCGGCUUAUGAGUCGGGCGCAGUCCUUGUUUUCGUGCCGACACCUUUUUCUGUUUUGGUGCUGCGUCACCCUAUUUUGGACCAAUGGCCCAUGUAUCAAGUUGAGUCCAUUAGGGACGCGUCCUAGGGUUGGAGGACGACUCUAGCACCCCUUUGGUCGUCCUCCCCUCUAUUUAUUUACAUCUAGAGCCGCCAUAAACAACUGGGUUUUGUUUAGAUCAAGUUUAGCCUUCGCUACUUGCUUGUAGGCGCGCGUGCAGGAUCAGCCGCCCGCCUCCUUGUCUUCGGAACCCCAUUGUUGAUUAAGAUUCAGUUUAAAACCUUCAAUUCAUCUUGCAAAUUCAGUGCUUGUUUCCUCGUUCUUGCUAGUUCUUCGAUUGCUUGCAGGACGGGAGCCCUAGGGGCUGGUUGUCGCGCUCCACAAGAUCGUGACGGCUGUUGGACGUGGUGUAUCGGUUGCUAAGGCGCGGUCUUGAGGGCUGUAGUCGGGCCGUGAACGUCAUCUCCAUCCACUAAUCGAGUUAUCCACCGCCUCUCAUCGAAAGAUCAGGCCAAAAACCCUAGCGGGCUCGCAUCAGUUGGUAUCAGAGCAAGGUUCUUCGGUGAGAGACUUCUAAUCCUUUGCUGUUUUUAAUUAAUUUCCUAUAGUCCAGAAAAGCCAAAAAAAUAUAGUAGAUUAGUUUUCCAUAAUCCUAUUAAACCUUUGUGCUUUGGCUAGUACCGUUUUAGUUAGGGCUUGUUGAAUUUGCGUUGCUUCGGUUUGUGUCGAGUUGCUGGUCUUAGUGUCUAGUCCUUUAGAGUUUCGAGUUCUUGUCACCAUCUAUACACAGCCGAGUAUUACCAUAUCUUCUCUCUGUCGAAUCUGUUGCGAAGUCUGAAUUGAACUGUGGUCUUGGUCCGGAUCGAGUAGAGUUCCAAUCUGAGUUCAAAAAGAAAGAUAACUCUACUUGUUCGGCCUUACUCGAGAGAGAGAGAGAGAGUGUGGAGCGAAAAAAGUGUAUGGAGCGAAUUGCUCUUUUGUAUUCUUUUGUUCAUAUAAUCAGUUUUUGAGGUUGCCCAAAAAAAAAGAAAAAAAAAAGAAAAAAAAGAAAAGAGAAAAGAUUCAAAAAAAGGGGCUGUUUUUCAUAUUGAUUUUAGGUUUGUCCCACCUUGUUUUCGGGGGUGUGCUGUGGUUUUCCUUUGUGUCUAGGCUCGCGUCUCUAGCACGGUCUAGCCUAGGACCAGCACAGUACCAUCGUCGAACGCUUAUUCAGCUCGCUUUUAUAACUAACGUGGUGCUAGUUCGUUCCUUGUUUCAGCCCACC
rnacentral:lncRNA from 1 species